AGGGACUGCACCGGCAUCAGAAUUAACAUCUUGCGGUCUUGAUGCUUAUCACUUGAACAGACCAGAUAGGAUGCAGGACAAUUCAGCAAAUGAUAGAAUAAAUCCCGUGAAGGGUGCAAUUGUGUUCUCUAACAUUGUUACCACAGUUUCACCAACUUAUGCUCAAGAGGUCCGCUCUGUUCAGGGAGGAAAAGGACUUCAUGCAACAAUUAACUCCCAUUCUAAGAAAUUUGCUGGAAUUCUAAAUGGAAUCGAUACUGCUGCUUGGAAUCCUGCUUCUGAUAAUUUUCUUAAGGUCCAAUACAGUGCCAGUGACAUAGAUGGAAAAAUAGAAAAUAAAGAAGCUUUAAGAAGACUUCUAGGGCUCUCUUCUUCUGACUUUAGACAACCAUUGGUUGGUUGCAUAACAAGACUGGUUCCUCAAAAGGGUGUGCAUCUUAUUAGACAUGCCGUAUAUAGGACUUUGGAGUUGGGAGGUCAAUUUGUUCUUCUUGGUUCUAGCCCAGUGCCGCAUAUUCAGAGGGAAUUUGAGGAUAUUGCGAACCAUUUCCAAAAUCACGAACAUGCUCGGUUGGUAUUGAAGUAUGAUGAGGCUCUUUCCCAUUUGAUAUAUGCAGCAUCUGACAUGCUUAUUAUCCCUUCCAUCUUUGAGCCUUGCGGUCUUACUCAGAUGAUAGCGAUGAGAUAUGGGUCGAUACCAAUAGCUAGGAAAACAGGGGGCUUGAAUGAUAGUGUUUUUGAUGUUGACGAUGACUCAAUCCCACUUCAGUUUAGAAAUGGAUUCACAUUUGCGACUGCUGAUGAACAGGGAUUCAACAAUGCUUUGGAACGUGCAUUUAACUAUUAUAUGAACAAUUAUGAGAUCUGGAAAGAGUUUGUUCAGAAGGACAUGAGCAUAGAUUUUAGUUGGGAUUCAUCAGCAUCACAAUAUGAAGAACUUUACGAGAAGGCUGU
rnacentral:misc_RNA from 1 species